rnacentral:lncRNA from 1 species
AGAGGAGAAGGUCCACUUCCUACUGCGAAGCGGGCAAACUGCUCACGGCUCAACUCUGGAAUAAGGAACUCUCGGAGGAGAGGACCCCCGUUCAGGUGGCAUUCUGAUGUACUGGGUCCCUGCAGAAAAGAAAAAGCCACCAUGGCUUGUGCUUCCCCCCUGAUGCUGAGAUCUGUGGCUGAAAGGAGAUGGAGGUUCUGCUGUUCCUGGAACCCAAGGCGACAGCAAGUUCUAGAUCAUGGCAGAGAUGCCCAGAUGUUCUGGGGAGUCUGGAACCAUCAAAAACCUGCAGCAAGAUGCCUUAGACAAGCCUGGGGACUGGAGCAAGCUGGUACAAGCUUCUAGGAACUAUACCAUAGUCAUCUCCCACAACCUGGAGACCAAGAAGACCUGAAUGAAGCUGCCUUCAGGGUCCAAGAAGGUGAAUUCCUCAGCCAACAGAGCUGUUGUUAAGGGCAAAAUUGGCUAGAGAUGGACAGCUGGCUAACACAGAGCCACAAGGCAAGUUUGUGAUCACCUUGGGUCCUGGAACUCCACCCUGUGCCCCCUCUAUACUAAGGUACCAUGAUUCUUAACCUCUGAAGAUUUAAUGAUGUAAAGGGCAGGGCUGAGUCUGCAAACAGAGACUCCAUUUGGACAUAGGAACAACUUACAGGUGCCAAAAGGCUUCUUAGUGACUGAUGGAGGUAACGUUGUCAAAGUUAGAUCACAGAUCACAGCCAGAAGGAGGUUCUCUCCACUCUAGACAUCAGCACUGAAUUCUUACCCACUUGAGUUUAUGGGCUGGGAAGUCCUUUACUGCUUUAUUAUAACCCACCUGGCUCCUAGCUCAGUUUUCACUUAUCAAUAAGCUUCAGUUUCCCAAUCUAUCAACUAUUUAACAAAAGAGUCCACAAAGUCAGUGAGUUCCUUGUGCUAGAUACCCGGGGAAGAUGGAGAUACCCGGGGAAGAUGGAGAUACCCUGGGAAGAUGGAGAUACCCUGGGAAGAUGGAGAUACCCUGGGAAGAUGGAGAUACCCUGGGAAGAUGGAGAUACCCUGGGAAGAUGGAGAUACCCUGGGAAGAUGGAGAUACUCUGGGAAGAAGGAGUUACCCUGGAAAGAUGGAGAUGCCCUGGGAAGAUGGAGAAAGAUGCAGCUGAUCCUCAUGAGACUAUUGGAAGUACCUUCAGACACUAGCUAUCAAUUAUUUCAUAGGUAAUUUCAUAGGUAAUUCAUUGCAGGUUGAAAAACUUUCAUUGAGCUCUUACUGUAUGCCAGGGCUGCAAGAGAGGAUAGAGAAAUGAAUAAGAUAUACUGGCCCAAGUGGACAUUGGCUGUUGACUAAUGUCUCAUAUCUCAUCAUGACCUUCCAUUCCAGUACAAGAACUUUCUGGCCUCAGCUUAGAGUGAACACGUUUAAUUUGUAAAUAUGUUUCUGAUGAUUUUUUGCGAUAAUUCUCCUACAAAAAAUAAAACCAAGAG